AGUGAACAAUGCGAUGUACAAAAUGACGACCUAGGUGAAAGAUAUCGAACGCACGUUAUCCGGGACCUCGCUGCCACACCAGCUGCUGUCUAACAUGCGUUAUGUGAUGAGACACCGGCGACUACAGAGGUUAAAACAAACCAUCGUCUAAUUAGGUGGUAGAAGAUAGAUGCAGAAUGAGGAUUUAUCAUUUGCUUAUUGCUCCUGCACAGGGAUCUGGUGUUGCAGGCAGUGGACCCACAAGAUCUACCCCAAUUCGAUGCCAAGCACUCUUCACUGGGAUGGAAGUAAGCUCUGAGGAAGUUUUAGAAAACUUUGGAUUUGCCUAGAAUAGAUCAAUAAGAGCUGAUAACAUUAAACAUGCAGCUGUUGUAGAUCAUAGUCGUUUGACAAGGACGUACUCUACUUAUAAUUUAUUAUGUGUCAUUAUGCCCCUCCAUAAUGGGCAAUGG